rnacentral:rRNA from 1 species
UACGGAGGGUGCGAGCGUUGUUCGGAAUUAUUGGGCGUAAAGCGCGUGUAGGCGGCUCCUUAAGUCUGAUGUGAAAGCCCUGGGCUCAACCUGGGAAGUGCAUUGGAAACUGGGGAACUUGAAUACGGGAGAGGGUAGUGGAAUUCCUGGUGUAGGAGUGAAAUCCGUAGAUAUCAGGAGGAACACCGGUGGCGAAGGCGGCUGCCUGGACCGAUAUUGACGCUGAGACGCGAAAGCGUGGGGAG